rnacentral:rRNA from 1 species
UAGAGUUUGAUCCUGGCUCAGAUUGAACGCUGGCGGCAGGCCUAACACAUGCAAGUCGAGCGGUAGCACAAGAGAGCUUGCUCUCUGGGUGACGAGCGGCGGACGGGUGAGUAAUGUCUGGGAAACUGCCUGAUGGCGGGGGAUAACUAGUGGAAACGGUAGCUAAUACCGCAUAACGUCGCAAGACCAAAGUGGGGGACCUUCGGGCCUCACGCCAUCAGAUGUGCCCAGGUGGGAUUAGCUGGUAGGUGGGGUAACGGCUCACCUAGGCGACGAUCCCUAGCUGGUCUGAGAGGAUGACCAGCCACACUGGAACUGAGACACGGUCCAGACUCCUACGGGAGGCAGCAGUGGGGAAUAUUGCACAAUGGGCGCAAGCCUGAUGCAGCCAUGCCGCGUGUGUGAAGAAGGCCUUCGGGUUGUAAAGCACUUUCAGCGAGGAGGAAGGGUAAUGUGUUAAUAAGACAUUGC